CCCAUCAUCAAUCCACCGGAUUUCACUGACAUAGUCGGGAACAAAAAAUGAUGAUGGGAAGCGGUGCCAUUCACUUCCAACACAAAGCACAGAACCUAUUCCAGCAUCAUCAUGGUGCUCCAAAAUUUUGUAAACCUCAAUAGGAGCACCAUAACCAUUAAUAAGUGAGAAUGUACGAGCAUGAGAUGCGCAUAAUAUGAGGCCAAGAAACACAGGUCUAAGAAAUUUUGCUAUCAUAA
rnacentral:misc_RNA from 1 species